rnacentral:rRNA from 1 species
UACGAAGGGGGCUAGCGUUGCUCGGAAUUACUGGGCGUAAAGCGCACGUAGGCGGGUCGCUAAGUCGGGGGUGAAAUCCUGGAGCUCAACUCCAGAACUGCCUUCGAUACUGGCGAUCUCGAGUCCGGAAGAGGUGAGUGGAACUCCUAGUGUAGAGGUGGAAUUCGUAGAUAUUAGGAAGAACACCAGUGGCGAAGGCGGCUCACUGGUCCGGUACUGACGCUGAGGUGCGAAAGCGUGGGGAGCAAACAGG